UCGUUUGGCAAGGUCGGCCAUGUUUGUAAACAUAAGAAAACGGAGAUCGUGAGACUCGGAACCUUUUCGGAGCGUUCUGAGAAAGAUUCUUGGCCGGAAAAGGCAGGUGGGGCUGUUUGAAGACGUUUACUAAGAUUCCCCAAAAUCAUUCGCAGCUGUCGCUUCUCCCGGACACGCAUCGCAACGGCAGCGGAGAAGAAUCGGCAAUCAGCAUCAGCACCAUGGUUAAGGCCGUUUCUAGCCGUACAAAUGCCAGGAUUGUGAAAGUUCCUGAAGAAGUUUUAAAACCGUGCUGGGGGAAGUGACAAAAGUGAUCAUCACAACCGGCUAGCCGCUGCUGAAGGAUUUGUAGGGAAAAUCAGUGAAAAGUAGAGAUUGUGAAGGUAAAAGAAUUUAUAUUUGUGCAAAGUGUCGAAAAAUGUAGUGUUUGUUGAAAAUCUAUGCAGUUUUUGUAAAAUUAAACGAAUAAAAUAUUUACUUUCUCUUGCA